GUAAGAUUACGCCAACUGUUGUAUUUCAAUAAUUGUUUUAAUAUGAUCUCUCUCUUUUAUCUCUCUAAUAUAGAUGGCCAAGUCUGUUCGAUGAGGAUCUCAAUAAGAGUCUCAACAUCUUCCAAGACAAGGAUGAACAAGUUAUUCGUGUCAAGGAUAAUGAAGACAAAUUUGGCUAAAAUAACUUAUAAGAUUUAUAGACAGUUAAUAGUGAUGCUUAUUAAUAAUAUUUCAUAUUGACAAAUUACAAUAUUGCGAUAUUUGUAUGUUGUGCUCGAGAGGAGAAUCAUUACGAUUCCCUUCAAAUGAAAGUAUGUGUCUCAAAAGGUUGAUAGAACCCCUCCAAGAAGGUGUAAAUGUUCACUCUGGAAGCCAUCACCAUACUCCGAGUGGAAAAGUAAACUUUAACUUUCGUUGGAGGAAAAGCACAUCGGCAUUUGAAACGAGAUGCAGUCCUAUCCCAUUACCUUGGUCACAAAGAAGUUAUAUCCAGUUGAAAAAAUCUUCGUUUGAUAAAAAUUGAAAAUGAGGCAUUAACGUCAUUAAAUCGUCCUUAAAAAAUAUAAUCUUAAUACUUGUGAGGAUAGACGUUAAGAGCUCGGCUCGUGAGCUAUCGCCUCAUCCCUAAUUAUACGAUGCUCUGACGUCAGAGAACAUCUCUGACGAUGACUAGAACAUUCUAUCAGUAUUCAUUAGUAUUAUUAUUGUGUUAUGAGUAAAGAGAUGAACACAAUGGUAACAUCAUGAGUAUGAGUUCUGAUCAAUACUUGGAUGUGUAAGUGGAGGUGGUACAAACUAAGAAUAUCAAUGACGGUAUUUUAAGUACCACACAAGACGAGGGUGACCAAUCAGAUCCGUUGACCACAAAUGAUCAAUAUGUUGAAACUACUUUUACCAAAGAAGACUCCUUUGACAUAUGUUAUCGAUCCAAAACUUAGUUAAUAUUCUAUAGUAGGAUACUAAAGUUGUAUUUUAAAUCAGCAUCUCUGGUUUUGUAAAAGAAAAUGGUAAAACACAUUUGUUCUUAUAUCACUAUUCCUAUUUUAAAAAAAAAGAAUAUUUAUCUCUCUUGAAAGUAUUCAUGACCUAUCCGAUAGACUAGUGUGAAAUUGAUAGUAAACAAUUUAAUUUAAUUCAGCAAUCGCCUACUUCUCAGGACUGAGUAACUAAAGUCACUUCAAAUAUUUGUAUUUUUUCUCUUGGACUGUUUGUUGAUCAUCCAUCUAAACUAUAAAAAUGUUUAAAAUGCACAGUACAUCAGUCCGAAAAGUCUUUAAAACAUGUUUGAACUUUAUAUAUUAUCAAUUUAAGCAAGUUGAUAUUGUCUUGCUGAAUGACCUCAUAGGCCUCUACAUGCCUGAUAACUUUAAGUCAAAAUUCCCAAAUACGAGAAUGAUCUUGGAUGCCACGGUGGUCAAAAUCAACAAACCAAGAAAUAUUGCAGUUCAUAGAGCAAUGUGGAGUUCCUACAAGAACAGUAAUACAGUAAAAGUUUAUUGACUUAGCAAAAGAUUAAUGACAGAAAAAUUACUUCUAAAAGAAUAGAUGUUGAGAAAUUGUGUAAAUAGUAUAGAAAUAACUAUUUUUUUAUUCAUUUGAUAUUAGCCACAACCAAUGGAUUCUAAGAUAAAUAAUUGCAUUUAUACACCUAAUUUAAUAAAAGCAAUAAUAGGGUAAAUAAUAAAUAAAUAAAUUGACAUGGAUUUUAAAAUACAAACAUAUGUUUAAAAGGACCUUCUGAAUAUCAUAAUGUAUAUAAAAAAUAUUUACAUUAAAAAAGAAAAGUCAAAUUGUUAAGUAUGAAUCCUGAGUAUCUCGUUCAAAAAUGUUAGAAAAUUUACAACAAAUUAUUAAAAAAUAGGUAUUUCUUUCUAUUGCACAAGAGAUCAGAGAGCUCCAAUAAACAUAGUAUUUAGAUUUCUAUAAAUUGUAUGAAGAUAAAUUCUUUAUAACUGU
rnacentral:lncRNA from 1 species